CAGUGGGUUUAUACACUAAAGCCUGGUACACAUAAAGAUUAUCGGGCUGUUUUUGUCCCAGUUUUGCCUCUUCCCGACCAAGGAUGGCAAACGCCUGAUUAUCGUGGGUCUUAUCAGAUUUUUCUGUACAAUUAUCAUUUGGUCUGAGGUGUAUUACGAGCAGAUUG